rnacentral:rRNA from 1 species
UACGUAGGAUGCGAGCGUUGUCCGGAAUUAUUGGGCGUAAAGGGCUCGUAGGCGGUUUGUCGCGUCGGGAGUGAAAUCCACUGGCUUAACUGGUGGCUUGCUUUCGAUACGGGCAGACUGGAGGUAUGCAGGGGAGAACGGAAUUCCUGGUGUAGCGGUGAAAUGCGCAGAUAUCAGGAGGAACACCGGUGGCGAAGGCGGUUCUCUGGGCAUGUCCUGACGCUGAGGAGUGAAAGUGUGGGGAGCGAACAGG